rnacentral:rRNA from 1 species
UACGAAGGGGCGAGCGUUAUUCGGAAUCACUGGGCGUAAAGCGUGCGUAGGCUGCUUGGAAAGUUGGAAGUGAAAGCCCAGGGCUCAGCCCUGGAAUUGCUUUCAAAACUACCAGGCUCGGAUUCGGGAGAGGAUAGCGGAAUUGUCAGUGUAGCAGUGAAAUGCGUAGAUAUUGACAGGAACACCAGUGGCGCAAGCGGCUAUCUGGACCGACAUCGACGCUGAGGCACGAAAAGCGUGGGGGAUCAAAACAGGAUUAGAAAACCCCCGGU